GCUCCUGCAGCUCAGUGGUAUGUCGUUGGGUUGGGAAGCGAAAGGUACCGGGUUCAAUCCCCGCCGGUUUCC